rnacentral:rRNA from 1 species
UGCGUAGGUGGUCAUAUUAGUCUUCUGUUAAAGGUCCGGGCUCAACCCGGGAAAUGCGGAGGAAACGGUAUGACUAGAGGGUGAGAGAGGUGGUACGGAACUCACGGUGUAGGGGUGAAAUCCGUUGAUAUCGUGGGGAACACCAAAUGCGAAGGCAGUACACUGGCUCAUUCCUGACACUGAGGCACGAAAGCGUGGGUAGCGAACG